GCGCGCGGCGCCAUCUUGAGGCGGGGCGGUGGGAACGGCCGGCAGUCCGGAGCUCCUCACGCGAAGGGGCUGCAGCGGCUGCUGGCGGCUGCCCCUGGCGCGGCUGGGCAGGGGGGGCGGUGCUGGGGCCGGAGAGGCGCCGCUGGGCGGCAAGCAGCAGCCUUGGCGGGCCCGCGCCCUGCCCGCUUUCCGCUCUGGUAAAGGUCUGCCUCGGGCCCGUGGGCUUGGGGAUCCCAGUCGGCCCCCGGCUGGGCAGUUAACUGCAACCACCGAGUCUCUCUUCCCUCAGGCCUAGGGAAGGAGCAGCUGCAGAUGAGCUUGGAGGCCUGGCCAAGGACGCAAAGGAGAAGAGGAAAGGGGUGGAGGCAAAGUGCUGCCUUCCUGCCACCAAGCACGGUGGGGGACCACCUUCCUGCUGCCCGCUCCACAUUCCUGCCGAGGGGAGGAGGAGCUGCUGCACGGGAAGUGAGGGAGCAGGUUGAGCCCAGCCCUUGAGCUCAGCCCUCUUCCCUCUGCUCCAGCUGCCUGACCCAAAAAGUGCCUGGAGACCAGCAGAGGAUAUGCAACAGCUCACCAAAAAGAGUCUGCAGCUGCUGAUAUGGGUGCAGUCCCUGUGCCACCAUAGCAGGAACAGAACACUUGUGUUUGUGCAGACGAUGCUGUGGGCUCUUCACUCACCAGUCAAAGUAGAUUAGAAGUCAGUGCUUUUUUUUCUGGGGGUAGAAGGUGACCAAGGCAUCCUGUCUGUAUCCAUAUCUGCCAUGAUUCUUCGGAUCGCUGUUCUUGCCAUGAGCAGCUUCCCAGGUAGACUUGAGCAUAUACUCAGGUAUGAUGGGAGCAGCAGCCUAGUUGGCUCUUCCUUUUACUGCAGACAAAAUUUGCUGCCUGGAGCAGUGGAGAUUCACUCUCAACUUUGGUCCUAAGCGUAAUGUUACCCAAGGGGUGGAGCAGGCUUGUAGGGUCUUAGGGUUGCCAGGCGGGACCAAAGCAGGAGUGAUGGGCAGAGGAAGGAAGUUUCGGGUUUUACUUCUCUGUAGCGCACCCAGAAACAAAGGGGCUUCACCUUUGCCCUGGAGCUUAAAGCACAUUGGUGAAGUGGCAGCUCUUCUCUAGAGCUGCUGGGAUGAAAAAAAGCCUCUCCUGCCCUGCUGGGCUGUGUUCCCAGCACUCGCAGGUUAUAUCUCCUUGAGGAGGAGUGGGUGAAGCAGCAGCUGCUACUAUCCUGGGAGGGGAUUUUAGGGAUGGGUGAACCUCUGUAAUGGCAAUGGAGGGGCUGGAUCAAAGAGAAAACGACUAACCCAGUCAGUAGCUAUGUCUCUUCUGGGGAGAUCUCUCUGCUAAGAGAUAAGUGUAGUAGCGGUUCCUAAAUACAGUAAAUUCACUGUGGGGGAACAGAGGUGGUUGGACUGAACUGUCCUCUGCCAGCUACCAUAUAAAGGGCUGAGGCAUUUUGUUCCACUUGACUGUUUUGGGGACCAAAGUGGGAGGCUCAGUCAGCCAUUUCUGGGAAAGAGAGCCACAUGCAUGUAGGACAGCUCUUGGAGACUGCUGGAAGGGGAGUCUGUCUUCAGUCUCCAGCAGCCACAAAGACAGCCUGCACAAAUCUGACUCAUGUCUGAUACAGUUUUUAGAGCAGAAACUUCUUUUCUCCCCACCCAAGAAACAUGAGCAGACAGGGCUUCUGAUUUCCAGUAUUUAUUCAUAUUCCAACAGUGAUAUUAAUAUUGAUUUAUGACAGUGCUUUACAGCCUUGUAAAUGGAAUGUAAGUACAUAAGUAGCUGAAAUUUUACUUUCUGUACCUUUGUAAAAAAAGAGAGCGCAGUGGGACAGGAAAGCAUGUGUAAAGGGGAAGGAGAGAAGGAACCCCAGGAGAACACUUGCUUCUCCCACCAUGACCCAUGAAAAGAAGUGCAGUGGGCAGACAGCAGUAGGGACAUGGAGAUGGUUCUCAGCUACCUUCUCUUAACUCCAGCAGCAUAGCCCAAGAGCUCUUCCAAAGGAGGAGCUGGGGAACAAGCAACUUGUUCUGCAAGCAAGUUCGUUCUUUUUCUUUUGGCCACAAAUUAAAUAAGUGAAGAGCUGCUUUGUAUCAGUUGUGGCUCUCCAAAUCUUACUCCCAAGGGUAAAAAUGAUGCAGCAUGUUGAUGAGACGUGUGAUUCCCACUCAACUUUUCCCAGUAGCUCCACAGCAAGGGGUGUAUAGGCUGCCAUAAGCAGAAAAAGCCAGUGGGGGAAAAAGUGCGGCAGGCCUGCCUGCUUCCGUUCUUCUGCAGUAUUUUAUCCAUGGGUUAAUGAAUACAAAUUCUAGUUACUGCUCCUUCUGCAAGGUUGUCUGGAAAACAAGCUCACUUACCCUUUGCGGCUCUCUCUGGUAUUUCACAGAAUGGCCCUAAACAGCUGGUCAAAGGAUGGGUAAGAGUUGAGAUAGCACUUACCACCAGCAACAAAGACAAGGGCAGAGCAUGGUUUUCUAUCACCAGCCUGGCAGGCCCAUUUGAGGGUUCACACUGAAAUGCUUUGACCAUUUUUGUACAGAAAAAGAACAAAACUCCACAUUGUGACAAUUCCAGUCCGUACCACAUUGGGAAUAAAAGCUCUGUUUUUUUUUCAAGCAGAGGGAAGGCCUGAUGCACUGCUGAGUGAACUUGUAUCAUUCAGCUGCAAGUGACCUGAAAACCAGCUCCCAAAGACCUCAAGAUUUCCUGCUGAAUAGAGGGGAAGGAUCACCCCUCUUAAUGUGCUGGCAAUGCUAUUCCUGAUGCUGCCCAGGAUGCCAUUGGCCUCCUUUGCCGUAAGGGCAUGUUGCUGGCUCAUGGUCAACUUGGUGUCCACCAGGACCUCCAGGUCCUUCUGUGCACCUGCUUCCAGUUGCUCUUCUGUGUGGGUAUGUUUCUUCCACUGGGAUGAGAGAAGACUGGUGGUAUAGGGACAUAUCUCUGGAGGGAAAAAAGCUGCGGUGAGAUGUGACCUCUUUGGGGUGUGAGCCUCUGGAGGGAAGACAGCCAAGAUGGGAUGCGUCUCUGCUGUAGUUUUCUGGCUGUAACUGGUGGUGAUCCCCUCCAAGGGCUGAUCUGUGCGUCCAGACACCAGUCUUCUGUGCUGCCAUCCCAGGCAGAGCCCUGUGGGUCGCACUGGCCUCAGGGAAGGGCUGGGAGGCCCAGGAGCCCGAUGGCACCAGCCCCAGCACUGACAUGACACACACCAUCCAGCUUGGCAGGGGAGCAGACCACUGGGUCAGACUGGGCUCUCAGCCCAGUGCCCUACAGGGCCAGGGCUAAGACCCCCCUGUCUUGGCUCCCCAGGGCCCCAGCCAUCUGGAAGACGAGUGAGAGGGCCUGGCUGGGAAUGCCCCUGACCUGGCAUCAUUUGCAAACCAUGAGUGGCCCUGCAGCCCCCACAGAUUCCUUUGGUGGCUCUGCAGCCCCUGUGGUGCUCCCUGUGGUGGCCUUUCAGCCCCUACAAAAGUCCUUCCAGCAGCCCUGAAGCUCCCGUGGUAACCCUGCAGUUUCAAUGGUAGCCCCUGUGGCCCUGCAGCCAUCCUUAGCCCCUCUAGGUGCCCUUGGCCCUGCACAGCUGGGCUACUUCACCCACACUUGGUGCACAGAGGCUCCAUGGGGCCUGGGGCAGGAAGCGACCCAUGCUCACACUAGGGUUGGGGUGUGCGGGGCUGGCUGCUGGAGCCUGGCUACUGCCUUGGUCAGUAAUGUCACCAGUUAUUCCUCGAAGGACUUCAUGAGAAGAGGCAUGCAGGUUGCAGCUGUUGUGUAUUGCAGAGGCCUUCAGCAUCAAAACAGUUCCCUGCCUUCAGUCAACAUCUUACAGUUCAGGCCAGUCUGGAUUGUUAAAAAAUGGAAAAUUAAAUGAUGCAGAAAAUGCUUUUCUUAUAA